rnacentral:misc_RNA from 1 species
GUGAAUCAUCAAAUUUUUGAACGCAAAUUGCACUCUCCUCGGAGAGUAUGCCUGUUCGAGGGCCAGCCUAUAAAAAAUCGACAUCGUUGCUGUUCUGCGGUGACGUACGUCGGAACCAGGGUUAUCUUAAACCUGUUGGUUUAAGCGACUCAAAAUUUUCCUUUCGAUUUCAUGAACGUUCCUAAGAUUUA